CCCUGUCUUCUCUCAUUCAUCCAUACCUUGGCCCUAAAGAUGACAUCUCUUUUUCAGUGCAAAUGUUUGGUGUUAUUCACCGAUUUCACAUCACAAAUGGAUUUGGCUAAUCAUUUAGGAGCAGACUAUAGCAUGUUGAUUGUUCAUGGCUUUUCAAGGGCUCAACUGAGAAAGGCAUGUAGCUCUCAAACGGCUCAAUGACUCCCGCUAUUUUUGUUGAGUCAGGUAA